UGUUCUUCUUUUCAGCUCUUCAUUCAACGUCCAACAGACAGUAAGUGCAAUAACUCCCUGCAGCUAUUAUGACAUUCUGUGUGAUCUGGCUCCAGUACCUGCUGAUAAGGCUGUCCGAGACUAUUGGCUAGUCUUGAACAUAUAUAAAUGGGAGCAGCUGCUGCAGAUGAGUGCUCCCCCGACUCCUCCCUGAUGUCCUCUGAUAGGCUUCUGGACUGCCUUGUGUCUGGUGCAGGCUGCGCAUCUAAUUGGCUCCCUUCUGUUACUAUGGAGCUGCGUCCUCUCCCGGCUAUGGCUUCCGCUCCCGGGGCUUACAACAGCUCAGCUGGAGCCUCUCUGGCCAUCUCUCCAGACCGCUCAGCUCCUUUCUGCUGCCUUCACUGCAAUGCCGCACGCUGGCACACCCGGAGCCCUCCUGGCCGCUCUCCUCUGUCUGCCAGCAGCACCUCUACCUCCUCCUCCACCGCCCCCCUUCGGGAACGGGUAAGCCUGGUGCUGGUGCAGCUACUCGGUAUCCAGUACUGCCGCUUGUAUGUUUACAGCAUACAGCGCUCUGGAUGACCAAGUGCCCACACUGACCAGGGGAACAGCAGUCUGCUCUAUGCUAACGGGAGCGCCUAUUUAUAUCUUUAUCUGCCCGCUCGCGGACUCCCUCUCUGCACCCGGCACUUUAAACUACCUGCUCGCGGAUUCCCUCUCUGCACCCGGCACUAUUUACCGGCUCGUGGACCCCUCUCACUCUAUGUCUUUCUAUAUUACCGGCACGCGCAGGUCUCCGUCCUUUGCACACGGCCCCCCCUCUUUCUGCACACGGCCCUAUUUACCGGCACGGGGACCUCUCUAGUACAAUGACAACAGCAUUAGCUUAUUGCGCCCUCCCUCUCUUUAAUUAAUUAAAUAUUCUUUUAUUUUUUACAUAACACA